rnacentral:rRNA from 1 species
UACGUAGGGGGCAAGCGUUGUCCGGAAUUAUUGGGCGUAAAGAGCUCGUAGGUGGUUCGGUAAGUCGGAUGUGAAAUCUCCAGGCUCAACCUGGAGGGGUCAUUCGAUACUGCCGUGACUAGAGGUCGGUAGGGGAGUGUGGAAUUCCUGGUGGAGCGGUGAAAUGCGCAGAUAUCAGGAGGAACACCCGUAGCGAAGGCGGCACUCUGGGCCGAUACUGACACUGAAGCGCGAAAGCUAGGGGAGCAAACGGG